rnacentral:rRNA from 1 species
GAUGAACGCUGGCGGCGUGCCUAAUACAUGCAAGUCGAGCGAACGGACGAGAAGCUUGCUUCUCUGAUGUUAGCGGAAGACGGGAGAGACACGCGUGGAUCACCUACCUAUCAGACUGGGAUAACUUGGGGAAACCGGAGAUAAUACCGGAUAAUAUUUUGAACCGCAUGGUUCAAUAGUGAAAGACGGUCUUGCUGUCUCUUAUAGAUGGAUCCGAGCUGCAUUAGCUAGUUGGUAAGGUAAAGGCCUAUCAAGGCAACGAUGCAUAGCCGACCUGUGGGGGGGAUCGGCCACACUGGAACGUAGCCACGGUCCAUACGCCUACGGGAGGCAGCAGUAGGGAAUCUGCCGCAAUGGGCGAAAGCCUUACGGAACAGCGCCGCGUGAGUGAUGAAGGUCUUCGGAUCGUAAUACUCGGUUAUGAGUGAAGAACAGAUUUGGAAGGAACUGUGCACAUCUUGACGGUACCUAAUCAGAAAGCCACGGCUAACUACGUG